CCCAGAAAUACCAGGGCACAAGCGUGGGCAGGAUGAAGCACAUCAUCAGCAAGCCAGGUUUGUAGUACCUCCUCUGGAACAUCACCAGUUUCUCAGCUUCUAGGUCAGACAAGUCUAGCGUACUCCCCUUCUCUUUGACAGCUGGGUGUUUGCGCACAAGCAGCCAACCCACGUGAGAGAAGAAAAAGCCACGUCGGGAAUUAUGAGGAUCAGCAUGUGUUUCUGAAAACUUGUGGUGGGCACGGUGGUCACGAGCCCAUUCAUAGACAUCAUUCUGGAAUGCCAUUGUGUUGGCAAUGAUCAGAAAGAGCCGUAGGGGCAGCCGAGCUUUGUAAGAGCGGUGGCUCCACAGACGAUGAGCUCCUGCUG
rnacentral:lncRNA from 1 species